CUGGUUGAUCCUGCCAGUAGUCAUAUGCUUGUCUCAAAGAUUAAGCCAUGCAUGUGUAAGUGCAAGCCGAAUUAAGGCGAAACCGCGAAAGGCUCAUUACAUCAGUUGUGGUUCCUUGGACCGUACCCAGUUACUUGGAUAACUGCGGAAAAUCUGGAGCUAAUACAUGCCGACAGAGUCCCGACCAGAGAUGGGAGGGACGCUUUUAUUAGAUCAAAACCAAAAAUCCCCGCCCCUCGGGGUGGGGAAAACGGUUAAGGUGACUCUGAAUAACUUUGUGCCGAUCGCACGGCCCCCGCGCCGGCGACGCGUCUUUCAAAUGUCUGCCUUAUCAACUUUCGAUGGUAGGCUCUGCGCCUACCAUGGUUGUAACGGGUGACGGGGAAUCAGGGUUCGAUUCCGGAGAGGGAGCCUGAGAAACGGCUACCACAUCCAAGGAAGGCAGCAGGCGCGCAAAUUACCCACUCCCGGCUCGGGGAGGUAGUGACGAAAGAUAACGAUGCAGGACUCUUUUGAGGCCCUGUAAUCGGAAUGACUACAUUUUAAAUCUCUUAAGGAGUAUCAAUUGGAGGGCAAGUCUGGUGCCAGCAGCCGCGG
rnacentral:rRNA from 1 species